AAAAAAAAAAGAAGAAGAGGGAGGCGGAGAGAGUGAAUGAGGUACGAUGUGCAGCUUGCUUCACGUCCUCAGUUCCCCCAACCCCAUCGGAGAAGAAUGACAAGAUGGAGAUAGAGAAGCUUUUUCAGCACCCCUUUUUCUUGCUCCCCCCCCCCUUUCUCCCUCUGUUUUUUCCAUCCCCUACGGUAGAGCUGCCAGACAGGAGUGCUCAGCAGCUCUCCGAACGUUAUUGAUCCUGAGAGCAAGUCGGACAGGGAGUUGGUGUCUCUCCCUCUAUCUCUCUCUAGCUUGCCUCCCUCCAUCAGAGCUUCAUCUCCCAACACAGUCCACAACUUUUUCUCUCCCACCUAGCCUGACUCCCUCGCUCCCUUCCCGCCUCUACUUCAUUUAUCAAGGUUAAGGAACUCUUAUAAAAAAGGGAAGAGGGGGUCGCCUGGAUGUUAUCUGACUUCAUGAAAGAAAUCCCCUCGGGCCACUCCACAGGAGGAGAACGCUGCCUGCCAGGCCCAACUCUACACAAAUACACGCACGGAUGCAGAAACAUAAAACCACACCGAGCAGCGGGGCCGCUCACACCCAAACAGAAACGGUAGACAGCAUUUCCAGUUUGGCGCAAAACAACAGGGUGACCAGAGACAGGAAAUGUCUUAACUUAAACCUUAAAGAGCCAGAGAGAGAGAGAGAGAAAAGGACUGAGAAACACGCAACAUGCUUGAGUCUCAGUCCAGAGGAGAGAGUUUGUUACCCCGAUGUGCUAAGAUAGCAAGUGGAGUCCUUGGCAAUUAUUUUUCAAAAUCAGAAAAUAGAGAAGGUUCAGUCCCUUCCAAGGCUGAGACUAACUCUUACUGAUUUCAAGCUAUCCUACACAUACAUACCACAGCAACCUGCACUUCAGAAUUCACCAAAUAGUUAUUUUACCUCUAUUUUUAGAUUAAGUAAGUCUGAUUGUG